GAUGAACGCUGGCGGCGUGCCUAAUACAUGCAAGUCGAGCGAACGGACGAGAAGCUUGCUUCUCUGAUGUUAGCGGCGGACGGGUGAGUAACACGUGGAUAACCUACCUAUAAGACUGGGAUAACUUCGGGAAACCGGAGCUAAUACCGGAUAAUAUUUUGAACCGCAUGGUUCAAAAGUGAAAGACGGUCUUGCUGUCACUUAUAGAUGGAUCCGCGCUGCAUUAGCUAGUUGGUAAGGUAACGGCUUACCAAGGCAACGAUGCGUAGCCGACCUGAGAGGGUGAUCGGCCACACUGGAACUGAGACACGGUCCAGACUCCUACGGGAGGCAGCAGUAGGGAAUCUUCCGCAAAGGGCGAAAGCCUGACGGAGCAACGCCGCGUGAGUGAUGAAGGUCUUCGGAUCGUAAAGCUCUGUUAUUAGGGAAGAACAUAUGUGUAAGUAACUGUGCACGUCUUGACGGUACCUAAUCAGAAAGCAACGGCUAACUACGUG
rnacentral:rRNA from 1 species